CGGGUGUAGCUCAGUUGGUUAGAGCGCCGCCCUGUCACGGCGGAGGCCGCGGGUUCGAGUCCCGUCACUC
rnacentral:tRNA from 1 species